rnacentral:rRNA from 1 species
GAUGAACGCUGGCGGCGUGCCUAAUACAUGCAAGUCGAGCGAACAGACGAGGAGCUUGCUCCUCUGACGUUAGCGGCGGACGGGUGAGUAACACGUGGAUAACCUACCUAUAAGACUGGGAUAACUUCGGGAAACCGGAGCUAAUACCGGAUAAUAUAUUGAACCGCAUGGUUCAAUAGUGAAAGACGGUUUUGCUGUCACUUAUAGAUGGAUCCGCGCCGCAUUAGCUAGUUGGUAAGGUAACGGCUUACCAAGGCGACGAUGCGUAGCCGACCUGAGAGGGUGAUCGGCCACACUGGAACUGAGACACGGUCCAGACUCCGACGGGAGGCAGCAGUAGGGAAUCUUCCGCAAUGGGCGAAAGCCUGACGGAGCAACGCUGCGUGAGUGAUGAAGGUCUUCGGAUCGUAAAACUCUGUUAUUAGGGAAGAACAAAUGUGUAAGUAACUAUGCACGUCUUGACGGUACCGAAUCAGAAAGCCACGGCUAACUACGU